ACGGUACAACGAGUCGCAAGACCGCGAGGUUUAGCAAAUCUCUUAAAGCCGUUCUCAGUUCGGAUUGUAGGCUGCAACUCGCCUACAUGAAGUCGGAAUCGCUAGUAAUCGCGGAUCAGCAUGCCGCGGUGAAUACGUUCCCGGGCCUUGUACACACCGCCCGUCACACCAUGAGAGUUUGUAACACCCAAAGCCGGUGGGGUAACCUUUUGGAGCCAGCCGUCUAAGGUGGGACAGAUGAUUGGGGUGAAGUCGUAACAAGGUAGC
rnacentral:rRNA from 1 species